rnacentral:rRNA from 1 species
CCUACGGGUGGCUGCAGUCGAGAAUCAUUCACAAUGGGGGAAACCCUGACGGUGCGACGCCGCGUGGGGGAAUGAAGGUUUUCGGAUUGUAAACUCCUGUCAUGUGGGAGCAAAUUAAAAAGAUAGUACCACAAGAGGAAGAGACGGCUAACUCUGUGCCAGCAGCCGCGGUAAUACAGAGGGCUCACGCGUUGUUCGGAAUCACUGGGCGUAAAGCGAGUGUAGGCUGUUUCGUAAGUCGUGUGUGAAAGGCGCGGGCUCAACCCGCGGACGGCACAUGAUACUGCGAGACUAGAGUAAUGGAGAGGAAAGCGGAAUUCCAGGUGUAGGAGUGAAAUGCGUAGAUAUCGAGAGGAACACUCGUGGCGAAGGCGAGUACCUGGACAUUAACUGACGCUGAGGCACGAAGGCGAGGGGAGCGAAAGGGAUUAGAUACCCUGGUAGUC